rnacentral:rRNA from 1 species
GGUAAACGUGCUUUCGGGUCGUAAAACUCUGUUGUUAGGGAAGAACAAGUGCUAGUUGAAUAAGCUGGCACCUUGACGGUACCUAACCAGAAAGCCACGGCUAACUACGUGCCAGCAGCCGCGGUAAUACGUAGGUGGCAAGCGUUAUCCGGAAUUAUUGGGCGUAAAGCGCGCGCAGGUGGUUUCUUAAGUCUGAUGUGAAAGCCCACGGCUCAACCGUGGAGGGUCAUUGGAAACUGGGAGACUUGAGUGCAGAAGAGGAAAGUGGAAUUCCAUGUGUAGCGGUGAAAUGCGUAGAGAUAUGGAGGAACACCAGUGGCGAAGGCGACUUUCUGGUCUGUAACUGACACUGAGGCGCGAAAGCGUGGGGAGCAAACAGGAUUAGAUACCCUGGUAGUCCACGCCGUAAACGAUGAGUGCUAAGUGUUAGAGGGUUUCCGCCCUUUAGUGCUGAAGUUAACGCAUUAAGCACUCCGCCUGGGGGAGAGUUA